GAUGAACGCUGGCGGCGUGCCUAAUACAUGCAAGUCGAGCGAACAGAUGAGGAGCUUGCUCCUCUGACGUUAGCGGCGGACGGGUGAGUAACACGUGGAUAACCUACCUAUAAGACUGGGAUAACUUCGGGAAACCGGAGCUAAUACCGGAUAAUAUAUUGAACCGCAUGGUUCAAUAGUGAAAGACGGUUUUGCUGUCACUUAUAGAUGGAUCCGCGCCGCAUUAGCUAGUUGGUAAGGUAACGGCUUACCAAGGCAACGAUGCGUAGCCGACCUGAGAGGGUGAUCAGCCACACUGGAACUGAGACACGGUCCAGACUCCUACGGGAGGCAGCAGUAGGGAAUCUUCCGCAAUGGGCGAAAGCCUGACGGAGCAACACCGCGUGAGUGAUGAUGGUCUUCGGAUCGUAAAACUCUGUUAUUAGGGAAGAACAAAUGUGUAAGUAACUAUGCACGUCUUGACGGUACCUAAUCAGAAAGCCACGGCUAACUACGUG
rnacentral:rRNA from 1 species